UUAUCUUCCUACUAUAAGAUUCUAUCUUUAUUUACUACUAUAAUUCUACGUACAGCCUGUACCGCCGUCGGCGACUGCACCGCUGAUAGGAUAAGCUGUAACCAACACGGUCCUAACACACCGGUACACUGUGUGGACAGCUAUUGUAGGUGUGAGGGGCAAGGCCACAACCAUGGCAACCAUCAUCCUCCUGGGGGACACCAACCAGCCGCCGCAGGACAACACCACAACAACUAGGGUACAUACUCAACACCACAACUAAGGUAAAAGUCUACAUGCCAACUCGACAAGAAAGUAAAUAAAGUUGUACUUACUUCA